AUUGAACGCUGGCGGCAGGCCUAACACAUGCAAGUCGAGCGGAUGAAGGGAGCUUGCUCCCGGAUUCAGCGGCGGACGGGUGAGUAAUGCCUAGGAAUCUGCCUGGUAGUGGGGGAUAACGUCCGGAAACGGGCGCUAAUACCGCAUACGGCCUGAGCGAGAAAGUGGGGGAUCUUCGGACCUCACGCUAUCAGAUGAGCCUAGGUCGGAUUAGCUAGUUGGUGGGGUAAAGGCCUACCAAGGCGACGAUCCGUAACUGGUCUGAGAGGAUGAUCAGUCACACUGGAACUGAGACACGGUCCAGACUCCUACGGGAAGCAGCAGUCGGGAAUAUUGGACGAUGGGCGAAUGCCUGAUCCAGCCCAGCCGCGUGUAUGAAGAAGGUCUUCUGAUUGUAAAGCACUGUAAGUUGGGAGGUAGGGCAGUAAGUUAAUAGAUUGCUGUUUUGACGUUACCAACAGAAGAAGCACCGGCUAACUUCGUG
rnacentral:rRNA from 1 species